AAACUCUUCUUAUCCUGUCUGGCCUGAUAAUGUGCAUUCUGCUAAUUACUGUAACAGGUUUCAUUAUAAGCCACAGCAGUAGGUCUCCAAACAGCGGUUUACAGCAGAAUGAAGAGUCCAGCAGAUUAAAGAAGCUGUACACAGUGAUGCAACAGAACGGCCGCAGAAGCAGCACCUUCACUGUGGUGGAGUUUACUCAGCUUAGCUCUGUUCUGUAGGAUCAACCACACGUGUGGUCACUAUACACAUCAACUGCCAAACACACAAAGCUGAGAAACACUGCCUCCAUUUUCAAAAUCAGGAAAUAAUCUUCUCUGAGAAGAUUUUAAAAUAACCACUUUUCACUUUCUCACGCGAUAAAACAUAUAUUUCUUUUGUAUUUCGAAUCAUACCGUGUGUUCACAUAAACAAAUAAAGACAAGACC